rnacentral:lncRNA from 1 species
UGUUAACCGAUAAUGAUAAAUUCACUGGAUUAAUAUUAUAUUUGGGUUUAACAUAGAUUAGUAUAAAUUAGAGAUAAAAUGCACAUUGAGUACAAAUUUGACUUCAAAUCGGGUCCGAGUCGGGUUCGGAUCCGAGUCGGGUUUGGGUCCGAAUCGGGUCCAUUUCUUUUGUGCUUUUGGAAAAUAAUUUUGGGCAAAUCUAAAUUGGCUAUAUCAUAACUAUAAGGUGCUGGGUGACCCAUGACUUGAAAGAAUUGCACUUGACCUCGAGCCAGAAUAGAUGACCCGUCUACAAGCCAAAUUUCAUAUCAUAC